GAUGAACGCUGGCGGCGUGCCUAAUACAUGCAAGUCGAGCGAACGGACGAGAAGCUUGCUUCUCUGAUGUUAGCGGCGGACGGGUGAGUAACACGUGGAUAACCUACCUAUAAGACUGGGAUAACUUCGGGAAACCGGCGCUAAUACCGGAUAAUAUUUUGAACCGAAUGGUUCAAAAGUGAAAGACGGUCUUGCUGUCACUUAUAGAUGGAUCCGCGCUGCAUUAGCUAGUUGGUAAGGUAACGGCUUACCAAGGCAACGAUGCAUAGCCGACCUGAGAGGGUGAUCGGCCACACUGGAACUGAGACACGGUCCAGACUCCUACGGGAGGCAGCAGUAGGGAAUCUUCCGCAAUGGGCGAAAGCCUGACGGAGCAACGCCGCGUGAGUGAUGAAGGUCUUCGGAUCGUAAAACUCUGUUAUUAGGGAAGAACAUAUGUGUAAGUAACUGUGCACAUCUUGACGGUACCUAAUCAGAAAGCCACGGCUAACUACGUG
rnacentral:rRNA from 1 species